rnacentral:tRNA from 1 species
GGUAAGAUGGCUGAAUUAGGCGUAAGGCUGUAAACCUUUUAAAGGAGGUUAAAAUCCUCUUCUUAUCA